ACUAAAAGACUACUACUUCUUCUUUUUGUUUGAUUUGGUAAGUUUAAUCUGUUUAUUUUUUCUCCUAAAUAUGCUCUGAAAAUCAUAUUUAUUUAAAUUAUGAGAGUUUAAUUUAUAUUAUGACAUGUUUUUUAUGAUAAAUUUUGAUUAGGUGAUGACAGUAUUGUUGAUAGUUGGAUGUGCAUUUUUAAGAAUUUCUAUGUCAGUAUUAAUUGUUAGCAUCUACUGUUUUCUGCAUUCUUUGCAUUUCAAGAAUUUUUAUGCCUUUAUAAUAUGUAUAAUAUACUGGAGUAUAAUUUUAUAAUGCCCUGGAAGAAGAAAUUACGAGGCAUAUCACCAUGUUUCUCAAAGGGCAGAUUGCUUGGAAUGUCAUCAUUGCCGCAGAGAAUCUGAAGAAUGCUCCAAUAGUUAUACCUAGUUAUGUUGUCUUGUAUGAAGUUUGUUAUAUGUAAUAAAUUUUAUUUUAGUAAAAAAAAUUGAGUUUGGUGUAUGGUUUUAGUUGCAAACAAAAUGCUAGUACAACCCCCAACUUAACUAAGUUAUGAAAAAAGAAUUUAUAGUCGUCUCUAUUUUUUAUGCUUUUAACACUGUAGCCGUUUUCAGAGCACGAAAGCAAAGAAAUAAACGUGAGCAAAGAUAGCAAAGAAACCACAUUUAACAGCUCAUCAAUUAUUUUGGUUUUUUAUCCAUUUGAUUCUUAAAGGAAGAGGUCCUAGUAACCUGGAGUUCGACUUCCACUGAGAGAGUGAGUCAAUGAGACCAAGAUUCUAUCAUUCUCUGGAGGGCCAGUUGCUUCAUUUUUAGAACUCCAAGUCUCCAACACUGAAUACAUUAGGCAUGUCGCUUUCUCGAUCAUAAAAUCUGGUUCGCCGCCUUAAUCCUUAGAGAGCAAAAGAACUAUUUUGAGAAGAUCGGACGCAAAAUUGAACGACAUUCAUAGAAGACAGAGAUAAAGCCAGAUAGAAGACUUUACUGAUAGGCCGCUGCAGUGAUUGGCGACUACUUCCCUUUUUUUACAUAGAGAUAGUGAGCAGCAGGUUCAAGCGUUUCAAUGGCGGUUUCAUCCGCUAACUCCGACAAAGAAGAUGAAGACAAGUAUAGAUUGGUAACUUCUCUUGCUUUGGGCCUCCUUGGAUGAGCGAUUGUAAGGUAACACAUAGUGGCUUUGUUGGGCUUAACACCAAACCUAUUUGGAUGCGUUGCGAUUCGGAUUGCCUUAGUGCCUGAGUUUCAAGUGUUGUUCUUUUCUCAGUGUGUAUGAAGUGAUUUGAAGGAGUACAGUACAAUGUGGGAAGUGUAUUGGUGGUUGAGAAAGUGUAUUGGUUCAAUCAAGGACAAUUGUGUCAUGGUGUAUGGCUGCUGCAGAAUUCAUUUAUAGAUGGAGACCAAAGAGAAUGUAUGCCACGAAGUAGCUGGAAUGGAAUAGAAUUAAUGCUUUGAUUCUAGUUUUAAAAGAAUGCUUCCAAUAGUAAUUUUCUUCCUGGUAUACGACUCUGCAAACUGUUACUUAAGCAGAGA